AGUGAACGCUGGCGGUAGGCCUAACACAUGCAAGUCGAGCGGCAGCACAGUAAGAGCUUGCUCUUACGGGUGGCGAGUGGCGGACGGGUGAGGAAUACAUCGGAGUCUACUUUUUCGUGGGGGAUAACGUAGGGAAACUUACGCUAAUACCGCAUACGACCUACGGGUGAAAGCAGGGGAUCUUCGGACCUUGCGCGAUUGAAUGAGCCGAUGUCGGAUUAGCUAGUUGGCGGGGUAAAGGCCCACCAAGGCGACGAUCCGUAGCUGGUCUGAGAGGAUGAUCAGCCACACUGGAACUGAGACACGGUCCAGACUCCUACGGGAGGCAGCAGUGGGGAAUAUUGGACAAUGGGCGCAAGCCUGAUCCAGCCAUACCGCGUGGGUGAAGAAGGCCUUCGGGUUGUAAAGCCCUUUUGUUGGGAAAGAAAAGCAGCAGGUUAAUACCCCGCUGUUCUGACGGUACCCAAAGAAUAAGCACCGGCUAACUUCGUG
rnacentral:rRNA from 1 species